ensembl:lncRNA
AUGUUGGUUUGGACACACAUUCGCAUCAGUUCGUCGCUCAAUCGCGAGUUACAGCCUGCAGCCUGCAGUUUGCUAGCUACCAUCGUUUAAGUUUGAGGAAAAUUCUCUGUUCACUUGAAUCACAACACUCGAUACCUUGGCCAGAGCAUAACCGGUUAUUUUCACCCAAGAGACCUACUGUUGGUCAAUAGUUUUGGCUUUAAAGGUUUCUCCCCAGGAAUCCAGACUCCACUUCACAGAGCCAAGAGUUUGAGUACAAGGCACUUGACUUUCUGGAUAAAAGGUGUCAAGCUCGUCAAGUACUAAGCUUUAUACCACCAGCAGCAAAUUUACCCUGGCAGCAUAUGGGUGAAAAUGCUGGAGGAGAAAGUCAUCGCUUUGUUAUUGGCCCUUGGACGCCCCUGGCUGUGAAGAUUUCCAGAGACUCCAGAAUGAUUACCAAGCUCUGAGGGAGGAGAACCAAGCCCUGAGGGAAUGCAAUGCACAAGCAGCUUCAGAUGACAGCGAUUCACUUCAAGAGCAGGUGAAGCAAGUAGGGACAAUGUUGAAGACGUUUGCUCUCACUGGGCAAUCAGGUGCUUAACCUGAAAGGAGCAUCUGACCGUGAAGGCAGAAAAAGGUGCCGCACGGCUGAGAAGGACCCACAGCCAACCCCUUAAACCUAGGCUGACUACUGACACCCCAGCAUCACUGAACUGGAACACUUUCUUUAUCCUGCAGUCAGUAACAUCAAGAAGCCAGAAGUGCCAGACUACAUUCACCAAAUCCACCCUGUUUUUUUUUGUAUUUUAACUUUAGUAUUGGCUUAUUUCAUUCCGUCUUAACGAUUCUAUUAUAGUUUGUAAAUUUCAUACCUGUUACUUGAUAUUGCACAUUAACUAGUACCAAAUAUUCUACUUACUCUGUUUUUAACAUCAGCAUUUUUCAUUCCAUCACAGUGCUUAACUGUUAUUCUAUUGUUAAAUAUAGCCUAAAUCCUUGUGCCACAGGUCAGCAUUGCAGUUAUAAUGGUCUGUUCUACUACUGUUUUUAUCUCCGUAUUUAUAUAUAAAUAUAUAUGUCAAGUUGUGUUUAUCACAGAUACAAGAGACACAGAUCUUAUUGCAGCACGGUGUAAAUCUUGUGCUCCAGGUCAGCAAUGCCAUUAUAAUGGUCUAUUCUACUCUAGAGCUUUACUCUAAAUUAUUAACACUUUUCCUAUUGUUAGAAAUGGCUUGAAAAUGUGAUGUUAUACCUCAAUUUAUUUGGUAUCCUGCACAUUCUUUGGUAUCAAAUAUCCUCAUUACUUGUUAUGUUUACUGGUAAUUAUUUUCAUCCCAGAGCUGUCCUUGUCAUGGUGCGGUGAGCAGCAGCGCCACCGUGCCAUAUUUCCACAAGUUCCCAUAUUCUCACGAACACAUCCCGGACUGUCACAUGUUUCCCAUCUUCCACACCAGGUCCCAAUCUAGCUCGUUUGUAUGUGUAUAUAUGUUUCCCCUCUGCUCCCCACAUUGUGGAUCAUUGUUGCUGUUGCUUGUCAUUGUUGCUGUCUGUUAGUAUACCGGUGAGUGUUGUUAAAUUACUGUUGAAUGUUGAUUGUUAAGACGCGUUGUCGCGCACUUUAUUUUCAUCAGUAGUUAGUUUCGUUUUCCGUUCGUGUUUGGUUUGUUUGUUGUUUUAAUAAAAACCCACGAACGUUCCUCCAACACUACACCGCGACGAGUUGUUACAGUCCUCUUUAUAUUAUUAACAAUUAUUGUGUUUGUGUUAUAAUUUGCUUGUAUGGCUGUUUUUCUUUUUACCAAAAUUUAAUUGGAAACCUGCAUGUUCUGUAGUGUGUAUUUAUAUGUAUAUUUUUUUCUGCCAGUUAUUUAUUUCAG